AUGUGUCUGUCUAUCCCUGUUCUCUCCUCUCUGCACAGGCCAUACAAACGCUUCACACCGCGUGGCCGCUGCCACUCCAACCUGGUGGUCCCAGCGCGCACGACCCACGUGGAGUUCCAGGUCUCCGGCAGCCUCUGGAACUGCCGGUCUGCAGCCAACAAGGCUGAGUUCAUCUCAGCCUAUGCUACCCUCCAGUCCCUAGACUUCCUGGCGCUGACGGAAACAUGGAUUACCACAGAAAACACUGCUACUCCUACUUCUCUCUCUUCGUCUGCCCACGUGUUCUCGCAUACCCCUAGAGCAUCGAGCCAGCGGGGUGGUGGCACUGGAAUCCUCAUCUCUCCCAAGUGGACAUUCUCUCUUUCUCCCCUGACCCAUCUGUCUAUCUCCUCAUUUGAAUUCCAUGCUGUCACAGUUACCAGCCCUUUCAAGCUUAACAUCCUUAUCAUUUAUCGCCCUCCAGGUUCCCUUGGAGAGUUCAUCAAUGAGCUUGACGCCUUGAUAAGUUCCUUUCCUGAGGAUGGCUCACCUCUCACAGUUCUGGGUGACUUUAACCUCCCCACGUCUACCUUUGACUCAUUCCUCGCUGCCUCCUUCUUUCCACUCCUCUCCUCUUUUGACCUCACCCUCUCACCUUCCCCCCCUACUCACAAGGCAGGCAAUACGCUUGACCUCAUCUUUACUAGAUGCUGUUCUUCCACUAAUCUCAUUGCAACUCCCCUCCAAAUCUCCGACCACUACCUUGUAUCCUUUUCCCUCUUGCUCUCAUCCAACACUUCUCACUCUGCCCCUACUCGGAUGAUAUUGCGCCGUCCCAACCUUCGCUCUCUCUCUCCCGCUACUCUCUCCUCUUCCAUCCUAUCAUCUCUUCCCUCUGCUCAAACCUAUCUCCUGAUUCUGCCUCCUCAACCCUCCUCUCCUCCCUUUCUGCAUCCUUUGAUUUUCUCUGUCCCCUAUCCUCCAGGCCGGCUCGGUCCUCCCCUCCUGCUCCGUGGCUCGACGACUCACUACGAGCUCACAGAACAGGGCUCCGGGCAGCCGAGCGGAAAUGGAGGAAAACUCGCCUCCCUGCGGACCUGGCAUCCUUUCACUCCCUCCUCUCUACAUUCUCCUCUUCUGUCUCUGCUGCUAAAGCCACUUUCUACCACUCUAAAUUCCAAGCAUCUGCCUCUAACCCUAGGAAGCUCUUUGCUACCUUCUCCUCCCUCCUGA
rnacentral:lncRNA from 8 species